CACGUCUUCAGGCAAUAAAUUGGUUGUAACAGAGCUGCUUUGAACACUGUGCUGAGUAGAAGUAUUCCAACCAAGACAAUAACAACCACCAUAAGGCUGUGCAUUUUCAGAAGGCAGCUCCUAGACAGGACCUGAGAAAAACCCACUUCUUUUGCUUAGCCGUCAGUGGAAAAGUAGCCUCAGCAGGACGAGAGAUCACCUUUUC